ensembl:lncRNA
AUGUGCUUUGUCAAUCUGAGGCGGUGCAUCUUUGUACGUGUUUUACGAGAUGUGUUGUGUGUUUGGUCUGUGUUCCAGUGCGGUGUGAUUAGGCUAUUGUCUGUUCUGAACUCCACUGUUAAAGCUCCAAGAGAAUCCGAGAUCCAGCAGAGCUUUGAGCAGCUGGAGGGCCGUGUGUGUCUCCUCCAGGCCCUGAGAGUCACCCAGCAUCUCACACACGGCAAGUGAGUCUGAUAUAAUCACAUGACACUAAAAACAUCCGGUUGAUCUGAAAAAUAUUUUUUUUUUUGCCCACAGCCUAGCAGUUAGUAAAGAUCCUAUUAUAUUAUAAUAUAUGUGACACUGGACUACAAAACCAGUCUUAAGUCUCUGGGGUAUAUUUUUAGCAAUAGCCAAAAACAACAUUGUAUUGAUCAAAAUUAUCGAUUUUUCUUUUAUGGCAAAAAUCAUUAGGAUAUUAAACUUUAAUAAGAUAUUUUGAAAUUAAAUAAAUAUAAAAACAAUUGAAAUAUUAUUUAUCAUCAAAAUCAAAGUUUGUUUUGUAUUCAAACAGCAUAUCUUCUUCGUAUUUUGUCUCAAACUGCACCCUGUUUUCUGCACUGUUUGUGAAUAAUUAGUGAACCUUACUGCACUCCUAGAACUCAAAGUUAAUAUGAGCUCCUGUUUCCACCCUCUCCGGCUCAGAUUAGCAGCACACUGGCCUGUGAGAUUUACGUCUGUGUUGAGUAUUAUUGGCCUCUCGCCACAUGUGUCCGUUCACUCAAGGUUGUCUGCGUGGUCACUGCUUUAACAUAUGUGUUGUUUAAGUUAAAGAUGGCACAUGAUGGGAAAUUCUGGUGACAGAUAUGAACAUGAGCCAUGUACAUGAAUACAAAAGAUGCCUUUCAACAUGCACUGCUUAUUUAGGAUCAACGGCCCUCUAUAUGGUGAAUAGGGUGUGUGAGAUUAGGGUCAGGGCACUUAAGGAAAUUCCGUCAUCGUUUACUUGCCCUUAAGUAUUUCAAAACAUCAAAACUUUGUGUUUUAUUUCAAUGGAACUCAAAAAGAGAUGUCUAGCAGAAUGUUCAUGCUACUCUUUUCCAUAGAAUGAAAGUGAAUGGGGACUAGGACUGUCAAGCUACAAAAACACACUAAGAACAUAAAAUAUGUCCUCUAAAGCCAUAUGAUCAUUUGGACUGCUUUCAUUGUAAUUUUAUCAUCUUUUUUAUUUUUUGAGCUUAACAGUCACAGUCCCCAAUUUCCGCUUUCAUUGUAUGGAAGAGCAGCCUAAUAUCUGUUGUUUUAUUAUCAUUUAUAUGCUAUUUUAUUAAUUUUUAUUCAAUUUUAUUUUAUUUUAUGUUUAGUAUUAUAAUUUUACUUGAAUUGUGGUCAUUUUCGUCAGUUUUAUUAGAUUUUUAAUAUUACUAUUUAGGUUUAAUUUAUUUUUGUUUUAGUUUUAGUUCACGUUUAGUUCAGUCCAUUUGUUUCAUCUAAUAUUUAAAUAUACACCUUAACUACACCUUACAUAAAUGAUUUUGUACGUUUGGAUCAUUUAUACAUAAGAAAAAGGCUCCACAUCACACAAUUAUUACAGUGAUCUAGCUCAUCUUCUCUGUUACAUAUUGUUUUUUUUCUAAUUCUGAAUACUAUUUCAAGAAAAAAUUCACUUUUUAAUAGUUGUCUUAUAAACCUGGCAUUGUUGGCUCUUUAGAUAAAGUGUGCUUUGGAUAAAAGUGUUUGCUAAUACAUAAAUGUAAAAACAAAAUACUAGAAAAGAUGAGUUUUUUGGAGUUAAUGCUCAGGAAUAGACAACUUUCUCCAGAAAUGAACAAUAUGACUGUCUGUACUGCAAGGCUUAAUUUUAGUCUCAUUCUCUCAGUAUGUAUAAAGCUCCUCUGUUGAGUGUUUUCAGCGAGGGCUCGUCCCGCUGGACUGGAUGGGGCGGUUGAGCGGGUCACAGGAGGAGGUGAGGGGGAAAGAGAGCUAGACUGUGGAACUGGUUGUGAUCAUGCUGCACUGAGGCACACACAGGGCUCAAGAAUGCUUUUUAAGCUCCACUAAGAACGUUUUAUUCUCUUGUUCUAGAAAUCCAUCUAUGUAUUAGAGCUUUUAAGAGUCCAGAAACUGAAUUUGAUCUAUAAUAAAAAAUCAAGAACUUCUGAUGAUCUCCAAACAGCCAUACAACAACUUGAGUUUUUGCGCUGCUAACGCAAUGCUCUACCACUGAGCCAUAUAUAUAUGUAUGUGUGUGGAAAAUAUUA